GCGGCAGGCUACACAUGCAGUCGAGGGGUAACAGGGGAGCUUGCUCCCGCUGACGACCGGCGCACGGGUGCGGAACGCGUAUGGAACCUACCUCAAUCAGGGGGAUAGCCCAGGGAAACUUGGAUUAAUACCCCAUAGUAUUGUUCUAUUGCAUGAUAGAACAAUUAAAGCUUCGGCGGAUUGAGAUGGCCAUGCGUAUCAUUAGCUAGUUGGUAAGGUAAUGGCUUACCAAGGCAACGAUGAUUAGGGGCCCUGAGAGGGGGAUCCCCCACACUGGUACUGAGACACGGACCAGACUCCUACGGGAGGCAGCAGUGAGGAAUAUUGGACAAUGGUCGCAAGACUGAUCCAGCCAUGCCGCGUGCAGGAUGACUGCCCUAUGGGUUGUAAACUGCUUUUAUCUGGGAAUAAUUCGCUCCUAUACGGAGUUUUGUAGGUACCAGAAGAAUAAGCACCGGCUAACUACGUGCCAGCAGCCGCGGUAAUACGGAGAGUGCGAGCGUUAAUCGGAAUUACUGGGCGUAAAGCGCAUGCAGGUGGAUGAUUAAGUCAGAUGUGAAA
rnacentral:rRNA from 1 species